rnacentral:rRNA from 1 species
CACUAUCGUUAACUGAAUACAUAGGUUAACGAGGCGAACCGGGGGAACUGAAACAUCUAAGUACCCCGAGGAAAAGAAAUCAACCGAGAUUCCCCCAGUAGCGGCGAGCGAACGGGGAGCAGCCCAGAGUCUGAAUCAGCUUGUGUGUUAGUGGAACGGUCUGGAAAGUCCGACGGUACAGGGUGAUAGUCCCGUACACCAAAAUGCACAGGCUGUGAACUCGAAGAGUAGGGCGGGACACGUGGUAUCCUGUCUGAAUAUGGGGGGACCAUCCUCCAAGGCUAAAUACUCCUGACUGACCGAUAGUGAACCAGUACCGUGAGGGAAAGGCGAAAAGAACCCCGGCGAGGGGAGUGAAAAAGAACCUGAAACCGUGUACGUACAAGCAGUGGGAGCACCUUCGGGUGUGACUGCGUACCUUUUGUAUAAUGGGUCAGCGACUUAUAUUCUGUAGCAAGGUUAACCGUAUAGGGGAGCCGCAGGGAAACCGAGUCUUAACUGGGCGUUAAGUUGCAGGGUAUAGACCCGAAACCCGGUGAUCUAGCCAUGGGCAGGUUGAAGGUUGGGUAACACUAACUGGAGGACCGAACCGACUAAUGUUGAAAAAUUAGCGGAUGACUUGUGGCUGGGGGUGAAAGGCCAAUCAAACCGGGAGAUAGCUGGUUCUCCCCGAAAGCUAUUUAGGUAGCGCCUCGUGAACUCAUCUUCGGGGGUAGAGCACUGUUUCGGCUAGGGGGUCAUCCCGACUUACCAACCCGAUGCAAACUACGAAUACCGAAGAAUGUUAUCACGGGAGACACACGGCGGGUGCUAACGUCCGUCGUGAAGAGGGAAACAACCCAGACCGCCAGCUAAGGUCCCAAAGUCAUGGUUAAGUGGGAAACGAUGUGGGAAGGCACAGACAGCCAGGAUGUUGGCUUAGAAGCAGCCAUCAUUUAAAGAAAGCGUAAUAGCUCACUGGUCGAGUCGGCCUGCGCGGAAGAUGUAACGGGGCUAAACCAUGCACCGAAGCUGCGGCAGCGACACUAUGUGUUGUUGGGUAGGGGAGCGUUCUGUAAGCCUGCGAAGGUGUGCUGUGAGGCAUGCUGGAGGUAUCAGAAGUGCGAAUGCUGACAUAAGUAACGAUAAAGCGGGUGAAAAGCCCGCUCGCCGGAAGACCAAGGGUUCCUGUCCAACGUUAAUCGGGGCAGGGUGAGUCGACCCCUAAGGCGAGGCCGAAAGGCGUAGUCGAUGGGAAACAGGUUAAUAUUCCUGUACUUGGUGUUACUGCGAAGGGGGGACGGAGAAGGCUAUGUUAGCCGGGCGACGGUUGUCCCGGUUUAAGCAUGUAGGCUGGUUGUCCAGGCAAAUCCGGAUAAUCAAGGCUGAGGUGUGAUGACGAGGCACUACGGUGCUGAAGUAACAAAUGCCCUGCUUCCAGGAAAAGCCUCUAAGCAUCAGGUAACAUCAAAUCGUACCCCAAACCGACACAGGUGGUCAGGUAGAGAAUACCAAGGCGCUUGAGAGAACUCGGGUGAAGGAACUAGGCAAAAUGGUGCCGUAACUUCGGGAGAAGGCACGCUGGUGUGUAGGUGAAGUCCCUGCGGAUGGAGCUGAGACCAGUCGAAGAUACCAGCUGGCUGCAACUGUUUAUUAAAAACACAGCACUGUGCAAACACGAAAGUGGACGUAUACGGUGUGACGCCUGCCCGGUGCCGGAAGGUUAAUUGAUGGGGUUAUCCGUAAGGAGAAGCUCUUGAUCGAAGCCCCGGUAAACGGCGGCCGUAACUAUAACGGUCCUAAGGUAGCGAAAUUCCUUGUCGGGUAAGUUCCGACCUGCACGAAUGGCGUAAUGAUGGCCAGGCUGUCUCCACCCGAGACUCAGUGAAAUUGAACUCGCUGUGAAGAUGCAGUGUACCCGCGGCAAGACGGAAAGACCCCGUGAACCUUUACUAUAGCUUGACACUGAACAUUGAGCCUUGAUGUGUAGGAUAGGUGGGAGGCUUUGAAGCGUGGACGCCAGUCUGCGUGGAGCCAACCUUGAAAUACCACCCUUUAAUGUUUGAUGUUCUAACGUUGGCCCCU